rnacentral:rRNA from 1 species
GACGAACGCUGGCGGCGUGCUUAACACAUGCAAGUCGAACGGUCAGGCCCUUCGGGGUACACGAGUGGCGAACGGGUGAGUAACACAUUGUAGCUCUGCCUUGCACUUCGGGAUAAGCCUGGGAAACUGGGUCUAAUACCGGUUAGGACUCCGGACUGCACGCUCUGGGGUAGAAAGCUUUUGCGGUGUGGGAUGGGCCCGCGGGCUGUCAGCUUGUUGGUGGGGUGAUGGCCUACCAAAGCGACGUCGGGUAGCCGGCCUGAGAGGGUGACCGGCCACACUGGGACUGAGAUACGGCCCAGACUCCUACGGGAGGCAGCAGUGGGGAAUAUUGCACAAUGGGCGCAAGCCUGAUGCAGCGACGCCGCGUGAGGGAUGACGGCCUUCGGGUUGUAAACCUCUUUCAGCACAGACGAAGCGCAAGUGACGGUAUGUGCAGAAGAAGGACCGGCCAACUACGUGCCAGCAGCCGCGGUAA